GCCAGUGUGACGUAGUGGGUUUCCGUAUUGGACUAUGACUCUGUAGACCAGGGUUCGAUUCCCAGCUUGGCCA